CUACGGGUCGCUGCAGUGAGGAAUAUUGCACAAUGGGGGGAACCCUGAUGCAGCAACGCCGCGUGGAGGAUGACGCAUUUCGGUGUGUAAACUCCUUUUAUAUGUCAAGAAAAUGACGGUAGCAUAUGAAUAAGCACCGGCUAACUCCGUGCCAGCAGCCGUGGUAAUACGGAGGGUGCAAGCGUUACUCGGAAUCACUGGGCGUAAAGGACGCGUAGGCGGGUUGGAAAGUCAGGUGUGAAAUCCUACAGCUUAACUGUAGAACUGCACUUGAAACUUCUAAUCUAGAGUAUGGGAGGGGGAGAUGGAAUUAGUGGUGUAGGGGUAAGAUCCGUAGAUAUCACUAGGAAUACCUAAAGCGAAGGCGAUCUCCUGGAGCAUUACUGACGCUAAGGCGUGAAAGCGUGGGGAGCAAACAGGAUUAGAUACCCCGGUAGUC
rnacentral:rRNA from 1 species